rnacentral:rRNA from 1 species
UCGCCUGUUUAACAAAAACAUCGCCUCUUGAAUUUUAUAAGAGGUCCAGCCUGCCCAGUGACUCUGUUCAACGGCCGCGGUAUCCUAACCGUGCGAAGGUAGCGUAAUCACUUGUUCUUUAAAUGUGGACUAGUAUGAAUGGCACCACGAAGGUUAUACUGUCUCCUUUUUCUAAUCAGUGAAACUAAUCUCCCCGUGAAGAAGCGGGGAUAAAACUAUAAGACGAGAAGACCCUAUGGAGCUUUAAACAACAUAGCACUUGCCACACACCAUUAAAAUUCCAGAAUCUUUAAUUCUCUGAGCAAUAUGACUAUAAGUUUUUGGUUGGGGUGACCGCGGAGCAUAACACAACCUCCAUGUUGAAAGAAUCAUCUUCUAAGCUAAGAACUACAACUCUAAGCAUCAACAUAUUGACAUCCAUUGACCCAAUACACUUGAACAACGAACCAAGUUACCCUAGGGAUAACAGCGCAAUCCACUUCAAGAGCUCCUAUCGACAAGUGGGUUUACGACCUCGAUGUUGGAUCAGGGUUUCCCAGUGGUGCAGCCGCUACUAAAGGUUCGUUUGUUCAACGAUUAAAACCCUACAUGAUCUGAGUUCAGACCGGA